AAGCCUAUGAGGAUUAAUAUUGUUAAGUUGGAAUUACCAGCUGAAUGAUUCUUUGAUGUCAUACAAACUGGCUGAGGCUUCUG